GUGCCAGCAGCCGCGGUAAUACAGAGGGUGCGAGCGUUGUCCGGAAUCACUGGGCGUAAAGGGCGCGUAGGUGGCUUGGUAAGCGUGUGGUGAAAGUCCGGGGCUCAACCCCGGAUCUGCCAUGCGAACUGCCGAGCUCGAGCAUUGUAGAGGCAGGUGGAAUUUCGGGUGUAGCGGUGGAAUGCGUAGAUAUCCGAAAGAACACCGGUGGCGAAGGCGGCCUGCUGGGCAAUUGCUGACACUGAGGCGCGACAGCGUGGGGAGCAAACAGGAUUAGAAACCCCUGUAGUCC
rnacentral:rRNA from 1 species